AAGGAGUUUGAAGAAAAGCUCAUUGCGCAAGAAAGGAUGACAGGGAGGUUUCCAUUUCUUCUGCCCAAUAAUCCAUACCAUUCUUACUAUCUCAAGAGUCUCCAAGAAACCCAAGAGGGCAUGGAAGCGGUGGGCGUGGGCAUGAGCCUGGUGCCGCUCAGAGUGCAAGAGUUCCAGGAGGACUUGCUUUGGGCUCGCGGCCGCAUGCACAGGCUGCGGGAGGUGCGGCAUGCCCCAUACAGUGGUGAUCCUAGAAACUUCAGUUUAUUUGUUUUACUUGCAUCUGAGAAUGAUUUUACAUUUGUUUGUUGUUGACACUCAAUUUUCUUCCUAAUAUUCCUCUGCAGCGUUGCGAAGGAGGAGCACGACCUCGAGCCCGCCGCACGAGAUGACGAUUACAUCAGCCCGAGGAUCUACAUGUGUGAGGAGCCCUGUGCCACGACACCACACCACAUCUACGACAUGGAAGACCAUAAUAUUGGCUGACCUCACCGCUUUUAGGGACGAAAGCCGCUGGCCGAGAUGGUUCUUCAGUGUUAAUAUUGGUCGGUUGAUUUGGCUACGGUCUGUCAAAUUGGCGGUUACUAAUUAACCUAAGCAAAAGGGAACAUCUAGGGAUGUGACUGACUAUACUAGGAUCCCACGUGAUAUAUUUUUUAUCUAUAGAUCGAUUUCACUAAUUAAUGAUAGAAAGAGGGCUCAUUCA